AUCUCGUCUAAAAUGUAAAAAUAAGCUUCUUUGCAGUGACACACCCAGGCACCUCUCCUCCUCUCAUCAUGUUACGUUUCUCUAAUUGCUAAUUUGCCUAAUGGAUGUGAACUCAACUGUAUGUAGUUAUCUAGGGUGGGGGUAAAAGAAAGUAAAGGGGCAGAGGUCAGACUGGAGACCCCCUCUUGGUGGAAUUUCUUCCUCGUCUGAGCACUUUACUGGAUUAUUUAGGCUAACUUUCAUCUCUGUUGCAGGGACAAGAGGCUCAGAGAGUGCUCUGACCUAAUGACCCCUCUCUCUUUGGAAGAAAAGUUCCAACAUGUGAAGUAUCUCUCACAACCGCAGUCUCAUAAGCAUCACUCUGACUAAGCUCACAACCACGUUUGCCCUACAGCCAAAAGACGGGGUGUCAUUACCAUAGUAAGAACCCACAAGGUCAAGUUUACACAAAGGCCUUUUUCAGUGAGGUUACGAGGAGCUUUAGCUGGGCCGUAGGUCUCUCUGUUGGCCAUUGUGGUUGAUUGGAACAGAAUGUCAGUUUCUUUCAGUUCAGACAAUAUGCACAGUAGGAGUUGCAUGUGUAGCAGGAUGACUGCCCUUUGCCCAUUUGCGGUCCUGCCCCUUUAAUUGUCUGCCACAUAAGAAGGGAUCGGUAGAUCUGCGCUCUCUCUCUCUUUCUGGCGACGGGUGCGUACUUUCUGCUUCCUGGUUGCCUGGCUGCAGGUUUUUGCAGACGCUCCGCACUCUUUGGUGUGGCGCAAAAUUGUGUUCCUCCACGCAGGCGCUGGCAGGUUGGAUGGCGUGUGUCGGCUAGCUUCCCUUUCGGUGCCGGAGUGAUGUUACGCUGAGGGCUCGGCACCCGGCUACCCCGAACCGUACUGUAUUUGGACUGCGGCUGCUUUUUAAAUAUAGAGAUAAAGAGAUAAAACAAACUCUUUUUUAUGGGGAUAAAAUAACCCUCUUUUUAAGGACGUUGCAGUUUUAUGGGGAUUGAUGCCAACACCCUAUGCCAACACCUAAUAUUCCUUAUUUUGAUUUUGUUUUGUUACCUGAAUCAACAGGAGGUGGAUGGCAAGGGAGACUUUUCUGGAUUAUUUUUGUAAUUAUUGUGAUCAUUGAAUUGAUUUGUUUUCUUGAGUUUACACUGUAUAAUUUGAUAUUCUUUUUGGAUUUGUCUUUUGAACCUGUAAAUUCUUGUUUUUGAAUAUAUUUUUGGUCUCAUUUAACUGUUCCCCUUUUUGUGAUUCUAGGUGCUGAGGGCCUCACUGGUGAACCCUUUUUGGUGAUGGUGUCCCCUCGUGUGUAGUGUCUUAUUCACUCCCUUUUUGCUUUACCCUUGUCUGUGUUUUGGAGUGUUAAAGAGUGGAUUGUGGUGCUCCCAUUUUAAGUUUAUACCUUCACCUCUCCCCCUCACUCACCUUGAGCACGAAGGCCCCAGCCCUGGAAAACAUGGUAGAUUGAUAGAUUUUAAUUGUUUUAGUUGCGAAUUAAAUAAACUUUGUAUAUUUCUUUUGGAAACACGUCUCCCGCCUGCUCAGUAUAACAAACUUGUGUUGUC
ensembl:lncRNA